rnacentral:rRNA from 1 species
UAAGGAAUAUUGGUCAAUGGACGCAAGUCUGAACCAGCCAUGCCGCGUGAAGGAUGAAGGUCCUCUGGAUUGUAAACUUCUUUUACAGGGGAAGAAAUCGGGAAAUUCUUUUUCCGUUGACGGUACCCUGGGAAUAAGCACCGGCUAACUCCGUGCCAGCAGCCGCGGUAAUACGGAGGGUGCAAGCGUUAUCCGGAUUCACUGGGUUUAAAGGGUGCGUAGGAGGGCAGGUAAGUCCGUGGUGAAAUCUCCGAGCUUAACUCGGAAACUGCCGUGGAUACUACCGGUCUUGAAUAUCGUGGAGGUGAGCGGAAUAUGUCAUGUAGCGGUGAAAUGCUUAGAGAUGACAUAGAACACCCAUUGCGAAGGCAGCUCACUACCCGAAUAUUGACUCUGAGGCACGAAAGCGUGGGGAUCAAACA